UUUUCAUUUUCCCCUCCCUGACCUAGGCAUGAAGCUCUCUUUCCAGUAAUAUUGUCAUGCUUGAUGUUCAUCUGGAUAUAUGUGGAACAAGAAACCCUUCAACAGUCAGGUGUUUCCCGUAAACAGAAGCUCACUGGUAUGAAAUUUUCCUCUGAGACGGAUAUAGCACAGUUUCGAGGACUCUAUCUGGAUGACAUCCGCAGGGUCUUUUUCUUUGUUUUCUUCUUUGUGACAGCAUUUUUUGGAAUUGGAAAUGUAGCUUCUAUUAACAGGUAAUUUUAAAAGAAAAUUGUAUAUGUAUACGACAAAAAAUUCACAUAAUAACGUGGAAACAGUGAACAGUGAUUUUUAUUCUCACCCUUCC